UGAGUACUCCUUCCGUUCCAAAUUACUUGUCACAUAAAUAGAUGUAUCUAGAACUAAAAUACAUCUAAAUACAUCCAUACCUACGACAAAUAAUUCGGAACGGAGGGGGUAUCUC
rnacentral:pre_miRNA from 1 species